rnacentral:rRNA from 1 species
GAACGAAGCAUGCCGGAGGAAGUUUUCGGAUGGAAUCCGGGAUGACUGAGUGGCGGACGGGUGAGUAACGCGUGGGUAACCUGCCCUGUACUGGGGGACAACAGUUAGAAAUGACUGCUAAUACCGCAUAAGCGCACAGGACCGCAUGGUCCGGUGUGAAAAACUCCGGUGGUACAGGAUGGACCCGCGUCUGAUUAGGUAGUUGGCGGGGUAACGGCCCACCAAGCCAACGAUCAGUAGCCGACCUGAGAGGGUGACCGGCCACAUUGGGACUGAGACACGGCCCAAACUCCUACGGGAGGCAGCAGUGGGGAAUAUUGCACAAUGGGGGGAACCCUGAUGCAGCGACGCCGCGUGAGUGAAGAAGUAUUUCGGUAUGUAAAGCUCUAUCAGCAGGGAAGAAAAUGACGGUACCUGACUAAGAAGCCCCGGCUAACUACGUGCCAGCAGCCGCGGUAAUACGUAAGGGGCAAGCGUUAUUCCGGAUUUACUGGGUUGUAAA